AGUCUUCAGACCUUUAAGGAUAACCUUGCAACACGUCAAUAUUUGGAAUGGAGGGAAUGUGAAUAUGAUCAAAAGACACUUGUAAACUUCUACAAGGGAUGCAACAAUCCCCCGAAUUUGCUAAUGAGCUAUUAAGGGCACUAAGAGGAACAAAGGACUGGAGAUUUUAUAUCACAAAAUGUGAGCUUCACUAUUUCUGGUGUCGCAUGUACCUCAAUUCUACAGACUAUUUUGUUAAGUGCUUCCACCAAUAAGUUGUCUUUGACUCAGGAGGAAGUAGAAUGCUAUGCCACUUUGAUCAUGGAAGUGCUUGACACUGAAAACCUCGGCUACAUUGAGGUACCAUUUUAACCUCACUCUUUAACUUAAUAAUCUAAGAGACCCUCUUAAUUGAUAUGUUGAGCUAUUCUAAUAGUUGGGAUAAAGAUAGAAUAAACAAAACACAUGAUAUAUAAUUUUUGGACCCCCAUGAUCUGAUUUCUCCUUUGUCUUGCUUUUUGUUACACCAACUCUAUAACCAUGCUAAUUUAUCAUUAUGGCAUCUCAUUGUGUCAAAUAAAGGGUUGGAAUGUGCUUAAAUUACAUUCAUACAUACAUGUAAAACUCAAAUGGCACUGUCCUCCUACAGAAUGGGGUGGAGGGCAUUGUGUUGGGUUUAAAACCCAUAGAAUGCACAUGUAACUUACUAAUCUCUAUGCGUGCAUGUGUGUGUAUGAAGUUGAGUCACCAUGUAUUAAUUUUAUAAUUUUAUCAUGUAAAAGGCACUGAUACAAUAAUGUCCCUUGUUCCUAUUACUUUUGGACAAGAUGAAUCCCAUUUUCUUUUAACUUGUUCA